rnacentral:rRNA from 1 species
AUUGAACGCUGGCGGCAGGCUUAACACAUGCAAGUCGAGCGGGGUGAUGGUGCUUGCACUAUCACUUAGCGGCGGACGGGUGAGUAAUGCUUAGGAAUCUGCCUAUUAGUGGGGGACAACAUCUCGAAAGGGAUGCUAAUACCGCAUACGUCCUACGGGAGAAAGCAGGGGAUCACUUGUGACCUUGCGCUAAUAGAUGAGCCUAAGUCGGAUUAGCUAGUUGGUGGGGUAAAGGCCUACCAAGGCGACGAUCUGUAGCGGGUCUGAGAGGAUGAUCCGCCACACUGGGACUGAGACACGGCCCAGACUCCUACGGGAGGCAGCAGUGGGGAAUAUUGCACAAUGGGGGAAACCCUGAUGCAGCCACGCCGCGUGUGUGAAGAAGGCCUUCGGGUUGUAAAGCACUUUCAGCGAGGAGGAAAGGUUGAUGCCUAAUACGCAUCAACUGUGACGUUACUCGCAGAAGAAGCACCGGCUAACUCCGUGCCAGCCGCCGCGGUAA